GACGCCUGCGGCGGGGAACCCGGCGACAUGGCGGCGGCGGCGGCGGCGGCGCUGGCGCGGCUCGCGGCGGCCUUCCUGCUCCUCGUGCCCCAGGUGGCCUGUGAGUACGGCAUGGUGCGCGUGGUGUCCGAGACCGGGGGCCCCAGAGGCAAAGACUACUGCAUCCUCUACAACCCGCAGUGGGCCCACCUGCCGCACGACCUCAGCAAAGCGUCUCUCCUGCAGGUGCGGGACUGGACCACCUCCGUGCUCUGCUCUCCAGCCGACCUCCCCGCCAGAGGCUUCAGCAACCAGAUCCCGCUGGUGGCGCGGGGGAACUGCACCUUCUACGAGAAAGUGCGGCUGGCCCAGGGCAGCGGGGCGCGAGGGCUGCUGGUCGUCAGCAAGGAGACGCUGGUCCCCCCAGGAGGCAACAAGACGCAGUACGAGGAGAUCGGCAUCCCUGUUGGCCUGCUCAGCUACAGAGACAUGCUGGACAUUUUCGAGACGUUCGGCCAGGCGGCGCGGGCGGCGCUGUACGCUCCCAAGGAGCCCAUGCUGGACUACAACAUGGUCCUCAUCUUCACCAUGGCCGUGGGCACCGUCGCCCUCGGGGGCUACUGGGCCGGGAGCCGGGACGUGAGGAGGAGGUACAUGAAGCACAAGCGGGACGACGGGCCCGAGAAGCACGAGGACGAGGCCGUGGACGUGACGCCCGUCAUGAUCUGCGUCUUCGUGGUCAUGUGCUGCUGCAUGCUGGUGCUGCUCUACUACUUCUACGACCAGCUCGUCUACGUCAUCAUCGGGGUCUUCUGCCUGGCCUCCUGCACCGGCCUCUACAGCUGCCUGUCGCCGCUGGUCCAGAGGCUGCCGCUCUGCAGGUGCAGGGUCCCGGACAACAGCCUGCCCUACUUCCACAAGCGCCCUCAGGUCCGCAUGCUGCUCCUGGCGCUGCUGUGCAUGGCUGUCAGCGUGGUGUGGGGCGUCUUCCGGAAUGAGGACCAGUGGGCUUGGAUCCUUCAGGACGCGCUGGGCAUCGCCUUCUGCCUCUACACCUUGAAAACCAUCCGCCUCCCCACAUUCAAGGCCUGCACGCUGCUGCUGCUGGUGCUCUUCACCUACGACGUCUUCUUCGUGUUCAUCACGCCCUUCCUGACCAAGAGCGGGAACAGCAUCAUGGUGGAGGUGGCGACCGGGCCGUCGGACUCGGCCACCCACGAGAAGCUCCCCAUGGUGCUGAAGGUGCCCAGGCUGAACGCCUCGCCGCUGGCCCUGUGUGACCGGCCCUUCUCCCUCCUGGGCUUCGGGGACAUCCUGGUCCCAGGGCUGCUCGUGGCCUACUGCCACCGCUUCGACAUCCAGGUGCAGUCCUCCAGGGUCUACUUCGUGGCCUGCACCAUCGGUAAGCCCGCCGCCCGGGGGGCCCGGCCUCACCCGUCCUCCGGCUGCGGCUGCGGUCGGGGGACAGGCCUGCGCCCGUGUCACAGGCCUCCCUCUCACUCGCCUCAGUGCUCCUUGUUUUUCUUAUCUCUGUCUUUCUUUUUGCCCCUGUCUUCUAUGUGUCUGUUACCAAAGCCAUUUACACCAAAGAGUUUUUUUCUCACUUCCUGUUGAGUCCAGUUGUUUCUAAAAAUGUCCAAACCAGUUCUCUUGUCCUGCUGGGUCAGCGCUCCAGGAGGAGUGGGGGUGCGGAGUGCACAGGCCCCGCCGCCCGGCCCGGGUGAGGGGAGACCCCUCCACGGCCCCCAGCAGCGCCCGGUGGGCGUUGGGCCGUUGCCGUCCACGCCUUCCCACGGGUUUCUGCAGGUCCAGGUGCAGCCUCCCCACCCCUGCCCCCGGGUUCACAGGCUCCGUGAUGAGCCUGUCCAGGUGGACCCGCAGGGCCCUUCUCUGUGAGAAGCAGAGUUUGGCAGGUUGUUCUGUAGUCGAAUCACUCCUGUAGGAUACGUGGCUGGUGCACGGCCGGGAAGCGGGCACUCCCUGCGCAGCCCCGUCGCCUGGCAGCAAGGGAGCAGGGGCAGAGCAGGCAGCCGGGCGCGGAGCGGGGGCUGGAGGCGGGGCUCUGCAGCGCGGAGGGGACGUGCCAGUGAACAGGGCCUUUCCUCGUGACUGUGAUAAUGGCGCGUGCGCAGCUGCGCCCGGGCUGAGCCCUCCAGCGCCUGCUCGCGUCUGCCGUGUCCUGCAUCCAUCCUCGCGCUCUCUGUGCACGUGCGUGUACGUCUGCACUCACGCAAUCGUACAUCACACACGCUGUUGUAUUCUGAAUGGGGAGCACCGCGUGCAGACACGCCUGCACCCCUCAGUGCGUCCAUGGGGUCACGACUCCGUGAUGAAAGCCUACGGCAUCGGCCUCCUGGUGACCUUCAUGGCGCUGGCCCUCAUGCAGCGCGGCCAGCCCGCCCUCCUCUACCUGGUGCCCUGCACGCUCGUCACCAGCUGUGCCCUGGCGCUCUGGCGCAGGGAGCUGGGCAUGUUCUGGACGGGCAGCGGCUUUGCGGACCUACCUCAGUCGCCGUGGGCGCCCGCCUCCGCCACCGCCGACGGCCCGCAGCCCCAGGCGGACUCCGACGCCGCCCCGUCCCGGCAGCCUCCCGGUCAAGAAGCGGCUCCGUCCCCGCC